rnacentral:lncRNA from 1 species
GAGGAUGCCGAGCCACCUGCUCCAGUCACGGCCAUCCCGACUCCUCGUCCACCCCCUGCCCCGUCCGGUUCAUUUUGGUUCGUCCUUCAUCCCGUCCACGCCGAUUUUGUUUACCUUAUUACGAUGUCCCACCUCAUCUCGUGCUCCUGACAUGCCGAGGGGGCGAGAGGAGUAAGAGAACAGGGACGAGUGCGCAGAGGAGGAAGAUGCCUGCCGUGAAGCUGCCAAGCGAGAAGACAGAGGAGGAGCGAUACUUGCGGAGGCGGCCGAGAUCGGGUACUACAUCUUCUUAGAUCUUUGCCGUCGUCUAGGUCAGGCCUCCCUCAGAUGCCCUGAUCCUCCAUCAUCAGGUUCUCCAUCUUCUUAGAUCUCACCCUUCCGUACCCAAUCGGCCAAUCCUCUCGAAUCGCAUCUCACCUGUCUCUGGCGAUGACUCCGGCCUGACAUCUCACCUCUCACAGUAUCCUCUCAUCUCUCUCCCAGGGAUGCCCUGCACUCUCCUCUCUAUGUCUGCUAGCGGUGGCGGCUGCCGGAAAUAGAGGGGACCAGUGGCAACGUGGAAUGGUACCCAGGGGCGUUCUGGUACAGCGAGAGAGGAAGCAGAUGAAUGUGCCACAUGUGAGAGGGAGAGGUCUGUAAUGGUAUCUGGUGGUGGCCUCUUGAAAAGAACCCAAGAUUCUCACUAAUAUCCUGUAGCUUGCUGUGUUCUUCGGGCUCUCUCAAACGACAAGAAGAUGAGUUACAGCGAAUUAUACAUCUCACCCCAUUGUUUGUACAAUGGUAUCCACUUUGAGUAGUAGUGUUGUGGGUUGUGGCUAACUGGCUAUGUGGAUUUGUCAGUGAUUUGCUAGCUUUGAUGUGUUUCGGUUGGAUGAAAUGGAGUGUGUUGGUGCAGGUGCGAUGCAUCCGAUUGACUAUAGGAGGACCGAGGACAUGUGGUGAGGCGCUGUGCCCUGUGGCACAACGACAAGGGUGCGCACAAGCUGACCAGCGUCUAGCUCCAUGGCAUCAUCAAUGACAGAACCAGGUACAUUGCCAACCAUUCAAUUUCCUCUGACUUGGACUGAUGCAUUCAUGGAUGAUGGUGGCCUGCACGUUCCUUCACAGUUAUUGAUUAAUCAUAGCCAUACAUUGUUGUUUAUCAUUUUCGUGCUUGCAAACAACUGUGAUGUAAACUGUAGGCACCGAAGACAUCUCAUCAUCCUACUAUUUUUAUCGCACUUUUUUGAAAUCAAUCUUCUGCAUUCAACCCGUGUGAACUUACCUCCUGAAUCAUCUUACUUAGCAAAUACGUAUUUUCGUGCAGCAUUUAGGACGACCAUUAGAUCAAAGUAUGGUACUGCGAUUUUUUGUACUGUUCCACAGAUCGAUGGCGUAGCUAACACUCUUAAUUGUUCAUAACAUAUAUUCACAUUUGCUCAUUUCUGCAUAAAUUACUGAAUUAUUAUCGGAAUGAAAGAUAACUUUGUGCAGUCAUGAUUUUUAAAGCAACCGUGUAUUAGGAUCUCAAAAAUUAUGCACUUCUACAUUACUAACUUACUUUCUGGAGAGAUAUCACCAUUAAUGAUGUAUUUUAUACUGUUCAAAAGUUCCGUUGGUUUUGCACAAGGUGCUCCCCAUAAUUAAAAAUGUAUCCAUCUUUGAGUAAAAGAAUGGUGUAGGUAACUGCAUCUAUUUGUUAGAUACUGGGUAACAAGCUUGUCAAUUUCCUCUCAAGAAAUUGGCCAGGUUGCGCUCACAACUGAGCCAUAUUUACGAUGCUCAAUAUGUUGUUGCUUUUCUCUCUGAAUCCUCGUCUAUGAGGACCAAGCAUGACACAGCAGCGAGGAAGAGGAUAAGAAAAAUCUCGGAAAGCAUGAAAUGGGGAAGUUGGUGUGUGUUUGUAGAAGUUGAGCAGUUAUUGUCCAAGAAAAUGGAAUAGCACAUCUGCUGAUCCAUCCCUCUUUUCUGUUACAGAAGUCCACACGAAUUCUAUGCUAUAUUCUGAUGUUUUCAUAUACUAUAAUAGCUUUAGUGAUUUAUAUGACCACACAAUGUUGGCUAAAACAGUACAAAUUGGCUUUUUAAAAGAGGAACAAAUGAUCGUCAAUGGUGCACUAAACCAUGAGAGUGUGGCGCCUUCUGUGUUGUGGACUUGGCAUGGGCUGGCUUCUGUGAGUGCCACUGUAACGUUUGUUAUUUUGCCUAACUUUCUGAAGUUAAACCAUCCUUUCACAAAGUUCCAUCUUCUUGUUGAAACAAAGGUUCACUGCUGUGUUCUUGCUGCCAUUCCGCGGUAUAUUGGAGUGUUUCAUCCUAAUAUAUGUCUGGUUACAUGACCACAAAGAGAAAGAAGGGUAUGAUGUGUAAGUUACCUUUCUGAUACAACCACAAUACUAUGUCGCUAUUAUUAUUCGAGUUCAGAGAUUUGAGACUCUAGACUUUAUGGUCCGUUAAAUCAGUUUUAUUAAAUUAACUGAAAAAAUAGAUUAGCUCACAAGUAUCUCUACUCAGUAUCUCAGGUUCUGCUUGCAGCUAAUUUUUCUUGUAAUGGCAUCAGCUAAAAUAUUGGUAUGAUCGAAUUGAGAGAAGUUCUUUCAACAUAGAAAUGUAUUUUCACUGUAAGACAGUAAUUGUUAGAAUCACAAAUUACAAGAUGUCAUGAUACCUGACGAAACUGCUAUUGAAAUUCGUACACUAAUGCAGCAUAUUCUUUUGAUUAGAAGCAAACGUGGACACUCAAGAAGAAGCUGAAAAAUCAGUAUUGGAACCCAGCGAGGAAAUCUGAAAGCAUAGACCAUGUUUAAGAACUGGUUGUUUUUGUUGUGCUAUUUUUAAGAAAAAGGAUUGUCUCGAAGGAAAUGAAGCUUACCAACAAGGAAAUUAUGGUGAGGAGCACUCUUCUGCCCCCUUGGUAAUACAGAGGUACUCAACUCCAACCCUAUCCAAGAAGCGGAAUAUAUCAUACUCUAGAGUUUGGACUUUAGACAUAUUUUAUCCUUUUAUUAUACUCAUGGUCGUUUUGGAAAACAGAUGCAAUGCAAAGCGAGGAAAUCUGAAAGCAUAGACCAUGUUUAAGAACUGGUUGUUUUUGUUGUGCUAUUUUUAAGAAAAAGGAUUGUCUCGAAGGAAAUGAAGCUUACCAACAAGGAAAUUAUGGUGAGGAGGCACUCUUCUGCCCCCUUGGUAAUACAGAGGUACUCAACUCCAACCCUAUACAAGAAGCGGAAUAUAUCAUACUCUAGAGUUUGGACUUUAGACAUAUUUUAUCCUUUUAUUAUACUCAUGGUCGUUUUGGAAAACAGAUGCAAUGCAAAUGUUAUGUAUUGUGCUUUUGCUUGUUCAAGGGACCUCCUAAUGACACACGAUGGAAACGGAUCCGUGGAUUAAUUCAGAUGGCAUUAAUUGGAGAGAAGGGAUCUAGCUAGGUUUGCAAUGGCAUGUGUACUACCAAAAAGUAACAUCCUCAGGUUCUCUCCUGCAAAUCUAAAGAUCAUGUUCGCAGAGCUAAUAAAUGUAUAUGGAUUAAAAUAAAGAUGAUUUGUAUUCACCGAUAUAUAUGUAUUUCCAUCAAGAAAUAAGUUUGGAAGAGUAGUAAGUACCACGGCAUUUUCUUUCAGAAUGCAAUGGUGUUUAUUUGAUAAUGUGUUUAUAUGACAUGCAUAUGUUGCUUUAAUUUGCUCGUCCGCGAACCCCUCAAAAUUAUCUGACAAUCUGCUUAUACAAACAGCUUUGAGUUUGGUGCACUCUAUUGCUUUGUUAGGCUUGGUGGUGUAUCAGAUUCAGGAGAAUAAUAGUCCCUCUGUCAUCAUAUUUUUGUUUGUGGUAAUGCAUGACAUUCAACUGUAUGUAAUAUGGCAAUGACUCAAGAGACAUCGGAUCUGCCUUCUUGGCUUAGGGCAUCAGGGGUGGCACACACGUCCCACUUGGUGGCGGUGGCAGAUCGGCAAGAACAAGGGUGGGGUUGUAUUAAGGAGGAGAGCGGGGCGGUUGGCGAGGGACUGGCGAGGGACUCCUCCUUGGCGGUCCGUGGGGAAGUAAGGUGAGGUGGGUCUCAUUACUAGAGCCAUAUGACCAAAAAGAUGAUAGGAAAGGCUCUUUCCAAGCAUACAAGCAUAAGGUCAAGUUUAUUUCAUCAUCGAUCCAAAUAUUGUUCCAUAGAAUAAUUGUGUCACCAGCUCUAGGAAUGCAAGUUGUAACCCCUUUGUAUAUGUCCAUGAACGAGAACACAUCGUUCUGUAUAUCUUUCCGUAAAAGAACUGUGCAAAAAUUUCUUAAGCGCAACAACUAGAUAUUAAUUUGUAAUAGAAUUUUAGUUGGAUCAUUGCUCUAUAUGUACACAUCAUUAAUUUAUCAUUUUUUAUCAAUUUACAUUGCAAGUGAAUUGGACUAUAAUAAAUACCCAAUUGUGC